GACAGAGGAUGCAAGCGUUAUCCGGAAUGAUUGGGCGUAAAGCGUCUGUAGGUGGCUUUUUAAGUCCGCCGUCAAAUCCCAGGGCUCAACCCUGGACAGGCGGUGGAAACUACCAAGCUGGAGUACGGUAGGGGCAGAGGGAAUUUCCGGUGGAGCGGUGAAAUGCGCAGAUAUCAGGAGGAACACCGGUGGCGAAGGCGGGUCUCUGGGCCGUAACUGACGCUGAGGAGCGAAAGCAUGGGGAGCGAACAGG
rnacentral:rRNA from 1 species